CGGCACGGGUGAGUAAUACAUCGGAACGUGUCUUCUAGUGGGGGAUAACUGCCCGAAAGGGCAGCUAAUACCGCAUGAGACCUGAGGGUGAAAGCGGGGGAUCGCAAGACCUCGCGCUGGAAGAGCGGCCGAUGUCCGAUUAGCUAGUUGGUGAGGUAACGGCUUACCAAGGCGACGAUCAGUAGCCGACCUGAGAGGGUGACCGGCCACAUUGGGACUGAGACACGGCCCAA
rnacentral:rRNA from 1 species